UCGAUGUGAAUGGUCAAACAAAGG
rnacentral:siRNA from 1 species